rnacentral:rRNA from 1 species
AGCUCCAAUAGCGUAUAUUAAAGUUGUUGCAGUUAAAAAGCUCGUAGUUGGAUUUCUGGGUCAAGCUCCUGGUCCGCCGCAAAGCGGUGCUGACUGUGUGCAGCGUUGGCUCAUCCUUGUGGGAAACUCAGCAGGGCGUUCAGUCGUCGGUUGAGGGCACCGCAUCUUUUACUGUGAAAAAAUUAGAGUGUUCAAAGCAGGCUUACGCUGUGAAUACAUUAGCAUGGAAUAAUAAGAUAGGACUUUGGUUCUAUUUUGUUGGUUGGAGACCAAGGUAAUGAUUAAUAGGGAUAGUUGGGGGUAUUCAUAUUUAAUUGUCAGAGGUGAAAUUCUUGGAUUUAUGAAAGAUGAACUUAUGCGAAAGCAUUUACCAAGGAUGUUU